UCUGGUUGAUCCUGCCAGUUGUCAUAUGCUUGUUUCAAGGACUAAGCCAUGCAAGUGUGAGAGUACUCGGGGCUUGCCUCGAGAGGUCUGUGUACGGCUCAUUAAACGGUUUAUUGUCUACCCAACGAAGGAUGUGCAUUUGCCACCCCAACGGGAUAACUUUGCUAACUGCAAAGCUAAUACCUGUAUGAAAAACUUCGUACCGUUCCAACAGGAGGGCACCCUCGUGGUACCUUUCUGUGGUGCGAAGUGCGGUUCGCCGAAACAAAAACCAACGCCGAUGUUUCGGCAGCUACCACUGUUGAGGCAGGCGAAUGUCGCGAAAGCGUCCGCAUGGACGCGUUGUUGGACGAAUUUACCACCUAUCAGGUUGAAGGUAGUAUAGUUGACUACCUUGCCCUUGACGGGUAACGGGGAAUUGGGGUUCGAUUCCGGAGAGGGUGCUUGAGAAAUGGCAACCAUGACUACGGUCAGCAGCAGGCGCGCAAAUUGCCCAAUGCCAAUACCUGGCGAGGCAGCGACGAAAAAUAAUAACUUUGAUGCACAUACGUGUGUCAGAGAUUGCAAUGGACUGUAUCCAGAAACACUGAUGAGUAUCAAUUGGAGGGCAAGUCUGGUGCCAGCAGCCGCGGUAAUUCCAGCUCCAAGAGCGUAUAUAAAUGUUGUUGCGGUUAAAAAGCCCGUAGUUGGAUUUGAGAAUAUCGCCUGUGAGUUCAGCUCCAUUUUGGGGGCUUGCUUCCAAUUUGGAUCACUGAUCUCACGUCAUGACGAUAUUCUGUUCGAUGCGGGAAUGGACACCUGCUGAUAGCUUCUUCGGAAGUGUGUAAGCAAUUUCGGAGUCUUUACGCUCCAAAGGUGCGCCCGCAGUCGUCACUGUGAGUAAAUCAGAGUGUUCAAGGCAACUAUUUGUUUAGUUGAAUGUUAAAGCAUGGAAUGACAAGGGAUCGACCACUGAUGGCCUCUUUUUGUUGGUUUUUAACCACUAGUGAGGCAAACUUGUGAGGAUGGUUUCCUUCAUUUUUGGUCUUCGGGCCAAGAGUGGAGGACCUCUUCACGCACGGGAUCAAUAGGAGCACAGGGGGCCGUGAGUACUGGAGGGUGAGUGGUGAAAUACUGAGACCCCUCCAAGACUGACAUCAGCGAAAGCACUCGGCUAUUGUGCUUUCAUUAAUCAAGGACGAGAGAUAGGGGAUCGAAGAGGAUUAGACACCCUCGUAGUCCUUUCCUUAAAUUCUGCAGACUUGGGAUCGGUCAGCGUCCAUCUUAUUGACCUGAUCGGCACCUUCCUUCCCUACCGAGAAAUCAAAGUCUUUGUGUUCCGGGGGGAGUACAUUCGCAAGGCUGAAACUUAAAGGAAUUGACGGAGAACCACCACCAGUCGUGGAUUGUGUGGCUUAAUUCGACUCAACACGGGAAAUUUUACCAGCACAGGACAGGGUCAGGAUUGCCAAGUUAAAGCCUUUGCUUGAUUCCCUGAAGGGUGGUGCAUGGCCGCUUCUGGUUGGUGAAUGUGAUUUGUCUGCUUAAUUGCGAUAACGAACGAGAUCUCUGCCAAUUACUAGAUGCCGCUUUCGCUUUUAAGCUAGUGUGUGGUCGAGGUCUCACGGCCUUUGGUCACAUACUGCUGAGAAGGCGGACAUUUACUUAUUGGGAUUAUGCGGUCUAAAAACGCAUUGAAACGAGAGCCCAAAGCAGGUCUGUGAUGCUCCUAAAUGCGCUGGGCUGCACGCGCAAUACACUGACUUCGACAAAGAGCUUUUGCUUUGCAACCUGGCCCGAAGGGGUUGGGGAAACUUGGAGCCGAAGUCGUGAUGGGGAUUGAUGCUUGAAAUUAUUCUCCAUGAACGAGGAAUGUCUUGUAGGCGCGUUUCAUCAGAACGCACCGAAUACGUCCCUGGUUCUUGUACACACCGCCCGUCGUUGCCUGUAAUGGGUUGUGAGUAGAGCCCUUUGGAGACGACAGACUGAUCCUCACAAGGGUGACUGCCUGUUGUCAAAAUUGAGCGAUACUCGCAAUCUAGAAGAGGCAAAAGUCGUAACAAGGUUGCUGUAGGUGAACCUGCAGCAG
rnacentral:rRNA from 1 species